GAUGAACGCUGGCGGCGUGCCUAAUACAUGCAAGUCGAACGAAGAGAGAAGCUUGCUUCUCUUUUAGUGGCGAACGGGUGAGUAAUACAUAAGCAACCUACCUAUUUGACCGGGAUAACAGUUGGAAACGACUGCUAAUACCGGAUAGGUACGCGGGGGACAUCCCCUGCACAUUAAAGCUGGGACACAGCACGAAUGGAUGGGCUUAUGGCGCAUUAGGUAGUUGGCGGGGUAACGGCCCACCAAGACGAUGAUGCGUAGCCGACCUGAGAGGGUGACCGGCCACACUGGGGCUGAGGAACGGCCCAGACUCCUACGGGAGGCAGCAGUAGGGAAUUUUCGGCAAUGGGCGCAAGCCUGACCGAGCAACGCCGCGUGAGUGAAGAAGGCCUUCGGGUUGUAAAGCUCUGUUGUAAGGGAAGAAUGGCCAAGAGAGGGAAUGCUCUUGGAGUGACGGUACCUUACCAGAAAGCCACGGCUAACUACGUGCCAGCCGCCGCCGUAACAC
rnacentral:rRNA from 1 species